rnacentral:lncRNA from 1 species
CCAACAACUCUUGCUUGAGGAAUAAAAGGUAUAUAACCACAAAUUCCGCCAAGAAGCAAGAACAUAGGACUUACAACUACCGGUUACUGGGUAGAGGCCCAACAAAACUCCGCUGGGGAUAAAUGAAUUGAUGCCGGUUAUUGGGCAAACCAUUCAUUUCUUCCACAGGGAAGCACAAGAAACCGCUGACACAACGCCGAUUCGGG